AGAUUCAGAGGAGCUUAUUGGAAGGAGCUGGACAAGAUGGCCGACUAUACGCAGCCAGGUGGAACACCUGCCACUGAGGGACUGGGACGACUGGCACCCUCCUAACAGAUCUUCAGCAAGGAGGCACUGAGAGUGGGUGGAGGGAAGACACAGAAGCUACACUGAAGUGGGAGGAAGCCGCUGCAUGGGGCUACCAUGCACUGGGACUAGCUCCUGGCCCCCAAUGACUCCAGGGGAACAGGUGAGUUAAACUGGCAAGGAACAACCUGCUUUCACCACAGGCCUCUGGUAUCCCGGCAAGAGGAGACCCCUUGACCACCACAGACACUUGAGUUGGCAGGGAGAACUGCUUGGAGAAGUGGUAGGGGCAGCACUUCAGCCUGGGUGGAGCCCAGAGGGUUUGGUGUGGGAGCAUUUGCAGUGAAGCAUAGCCAGGGGCAGCCAUCCCUUUAGGCUCAACUUGCUGCCAUAGCAGACUUUAACACUAGGGAAACCAGUCAAACUAAAUUCUUCAGGGUGGUCUUGCCUGGCAUUUGAGGCCAAUUCAACAACCUGAGCACCCCCUGGUUUUCUGGCCUCUCCUGGAGCCCCAGCCUGGCCAUGCCUGCUUGCAUUGCAGCCUUGGGUAGCCCUGGGGGCCCGCAUCACAGCUCCUGCACUGGCAAACAUGGUGUGGUUUUCCAGUGCAGAAGCUGUGAUGCGGACCCCCCGGGCUCCCCAAAGCAGAAAGCUCCAGCAGAGCAACCCCUGUGGACAUGCACCAGCCCACCCACUUCCUUCCUCUACUGCAGUUUCUGCUGGGCCCACGACCACCCCCCGAGUCACUGCUGGUGCACGUGUGAGCAGGCAGAUCUUGCCUUCUCUGCCCUGCCAGUGUGCAUGUGUGCAUGUGCCCUGCCCUACCACUGCUGCUGGUGUAAGUGAACUCAGCCUCCUCCUCCCCACACCAUGCCAUCAUUGCAGUCAAAGCCUUGGCAGGCACAGAGCCCACCAACCUCACCUUCACCAGUGCCUUGCCCCUGCACUAACACUGCUGCUGGAGUGAAACUAGGUAGGGAGAACAGUGGACCUUACCACACCCUAAGCAGCUACUCCUGCCUGCAUGAACUCACACAGAGGGUGUACGCAGAUCAGCACCUGCCAGUCUCCCGCUCCCAUGCUAACACCACUACCAGUGGGACAGCAUGCAAAGUUGCCAUUGGGGGUGGGGGCCCACCUUCCCAUGCCAUGCUGCCUCCACUGCUGCUGCCAAUGGCCACAUGGAGGCUGGCACCUGGGUACCCACUAGCACCCUACUGUAGCCAAUGAGCAUGCACCCUGCUGCACUGCCACUGCGACUACCACUGGCACAUGUGAAUGAGGACAGAUCCCACUGCCACUGCCCUACAAAACACUUUGGCUGGCACCACCCAUUGGAGAGUUGUGACCAGCAGUCAGCGAGCACCUUGGCUGCACCCAGCACAGUGGGUUCCUAACUUGAGGAGCCAGAGAACAAAGUUGGGCCUGAUACCAAUCCCCUAGGGUUAGAGUAUGCAGUCCAGGAGUUGGAAGCCUAGCCUUGGCUCCCUGAAAUUUUCCAGAAAUGAAGCCAGUCAUUUGAACUCAUAACACAAGGAAACCCUCAAGGUCAUCAAACAGGAUACAAGAGAGAAAAAAAAAAACAAAACAUCCCAAGGACAGCAACUUCAAAGACUGAAGGAACAUCAGUCUACAAACAUGAGAAAGACCCAGAGCAAGAACUCUGAAAACACACAAAAAAACAGAGUACCUUCUUUCUCCAAAUGACCACACUAGCUCUCCAGCCAGGGUUCUGAACCUGCACAUGUAUCCUUAAACUUAAAAGUUUUUUAAAAAAGGAUUCAGAGAAGGACUGUAGCUGUGGACCCAAGCUCCCUUCAAAGCACUGGCAGGUCAAUCGUUUGCAACACAGACAGCUAUAUAUAGAGCUCUGUGAUCCACCCAAUUAUUGGCUCAUCAAGGAGUGUGACACAUGCCGGAUGCUCUGUAGAACCCAACAGAGGGGUUACUGCUCCAUGGAAACAACCAAGAAGCUUUGAUCGAAGAGCCUGUGUUGAUUCCUUCAGUGAACUUCUUGAUUGAAAUAAUCACCUUCUUAAAAUAAACACACAGUGAGGUUUGAAGACGGGGCAUUGCCAUCCAGGUGGGCAAGAUGAGGUGUACAUAAGGAUGUCCACUGUGUGUGUGCACAGCGGAAGAGAGAGUCGGAGUUCCAGCCUCUUCCCAGAGAGGGGGGCACUGGAGAGAGCACCUGGCUGAGAAUGUGGUCUCUGUGGUGGUAUUUCAUGAAGAAAUAGGAGAAAAAAACAAGAAAGAAGAACUCAAAGCCAAAGAAAACGCAGAUCCCACACAACUUCCUGUGUUAAUUGUUCCAUGUGGAUUCAACUGUUCUCGGUUUUGGGAGAAAUAUAUAUUUUUUCAGGUCU